UUGAGACCUUCGGGUGGAUUUAGAAGUGACUGAGUGGCGGACGGGUGAGUAACGCGUGGGUAACCUGCCUCACACAGGGGGAUAACAGUUAGAAAUGACUGCUAAUACCGCAUAAGCGCACGGUCUCGCAUGGGACAGUGUGAAAAACUCCGGUGGUGUGAGAUGGACCCGCGUCUGAUUAGCUAGUUGGUGGGGUAACGGCCUACCAAGGCGACGAUCAGUAGCCGACCUGAGAGGGUGACCGGCCACAUUGGGACUGAGACACGGCCCAAACUCC
rnacentral:rRNA from 1 species